GGCAGUUUAGCUUAAUGGUAGAGCACUUGACUGGAAAUCGAAGGGAAGUGAGUUCGAUUCUCAUGGCUGGUU
rnacentral:tRNA from 1 species